rnacentral:lncRNA from 1 species
AAGCUAGCUGUGCUGGAGGAGGGGCGGGGCCAAGCUCCCCAGGUACCAGGCUAGCAGUGCUGGAGGAGGGGCGGGGCCAAGCUCCCCAAUACCAAGCUAGGAGUCCUGGAGGAGGGGCGGGGCCAAGCUCCCCAAUACCAAGCUAGCUGUGCUGGGAGAGGGGCGGGGCCAAGCUCCCCAAGUACCAGGCUAGCUGUGCUGGGAAGGGGGCGGGGCCGAAUAUGGGAGCCUGAUGUGACAGCCUCUUACGUGGGGCGGUGAUCCAGAGGAUGGUAGAGGGUAGCUGGGAGGUGAAUUGAGGGUGAAGACCCCUAAGGGAGGGACCAGGCAGGGUGGGGGAACCCCAGUGCCAGUCACCCAUCCAUGCCUGCAUCUCCUUGGUGCCUCCUCUUGGCCAGUGAGGUGGCUCCCUCCUGCCCCCCUUCCCAGGCCUCACACGGUCACCCCACCCAGACGUCGGCAAGUCGGGGGACCCUGCGUGUCCCGAGAUCAAGAUCCAACUGGAAACAUCUGAGCAGCACACACCCCAGAUGGUACACGGGGACUCCUCCUGGGAGAGGGUAGAGCCGGUUGGGGACAGGGACCCAGGGACCCAAUGGCUGGGGUGCCCCACUAGGCCAGAAGGACUGGGCUCUUCCAGUGACUUCUGGUUUCCUGUGUCUCCUGCCCCCACCUCCGGCUGCAUCUGUCCCCACAGGGCUGCUAGCUGUCACCUCAUCAGCAGGCGGGACUGAGCAGGUCAGCUGGUGCUCACUUGGAUCCUCUGGGGUGGAGGAGGGGAUGAGAGCCCCCCGGGCUGGGCAGGACUCUCCAGCCUCGGUGGCUGCGGGCCUGGACUACUCUUGACACCUUUUAGCCUUGGGUUCCCUAUUUGUGCAGUGGGCACACAGUGCUGCCUCAACUCUGCCUAUGAGUUGUUAGGGAGCUUGAUGGAGCCAAAAGAACUGGGCGAGCAUGGAACAUGGGGCGAGCUAGGGAUGCCCGUGGGAUGGGAGGAGAAGCUGUUGCCAUCUUCCUCUGAGUCUCAUCUCCCGUUCCCUGCAGAGGAGGCCUCAGAAGCACAAGAAGAUGCCGCACCACAUCCAGGCAGCUGGCCCUCUGCCCCACAGCCACCCCAGCCCCUGGCGCCCCUCCCUCCAAGCCCUGGGCCCGCCCAUCUGGGCUGUCUCCGCAGGGCGGAGCCAUCCAGAGCUCUCAGAAUGGAUGCUGCCGGCAUCACCGCCCCCACCCCACCCUCAGGCUGGAGCUCUGGGUGUGGGCAGGGACUGUGGCCCUGGAUUGCCCUCACUUGGGCCUCUGUCACACCGGGUUCCCCUCUGGAGCCACGGGGAACAGGGUAGGAAAAGGAGAAGAAGCACCGUGCGCAUACAGCCCACCGCAGAAGCAGCAGGUGCAGGGUGCGCGAAUGCGCAAGCGCCGGGCAGAGUCCCGUGCGGCUUCUGCUGUGGGACGUGGGCCAGGCACCCUCAUUCUCUGGGCAUCUCUGCUGCAAGUGGACAAGAGUAUUUCAGAGAUCACUGAAGCCUGAGUCCAUGCACCUGCCCCAGGAGGGGGCCAUUGUCCUAGGGACCGCCUAUCACGCCGACUGCUUCCCGAGGCCCCGGGUGGGCUAAGGGGCUGGGUCUGCUUCACCAAUCACCCAACCUGAGUCCCCCAGCUUUACCACAGAGCUGCCAACGUCCUUUCACUGUCUCCACACGAUGGCCCAGUAUCCUUGGUUGUGGAUAGGGUCAUCCCUGGCUCCUCACCCAGCACCCAGCUUAACCCUGCCACCCCACACUCCUGGGAGCACUGGGCUGAGGGGGUCUCAGCUGGUCUGGAGUCCAGACCUCGCCAUCCCCUGCCCACCAUUGCCGUGGAGGGGGCUGCCAGGCAUAGCUGCUGUGAGCCAUGUCCUUGUGUGUGUCUGUUCACUCUUAGGAGCCACGCCCAAGGCGAGACUUCCAGCCCCAACACCCACUUUGGAAGCCCUGUGGCCACAUGUAUGUCAGUAAGGGUUGUACAAAAUAAAUUCUAUUUAUCGCUAUUGUACCCGGAGUUAAGAACAGCUUUGUGUAAACCCUGCCUAGACACACGAGGACCCAAGGUGGACAGAAUAUACCUGUCCCCUUUGGUGCUGCCGAGGCCAGGGUGCCUCCAAGGCCAGCAGGUCACAGGGUCUGUGAACACCAGCUGAGGCCUCCUCUUCAUGGCCCCACUCUCCGACCCCAUACCUGCCAUGUGUCCUUCCCUAUGGAGAAAGUGUGGUUUUGAAGUCUGCCCUGGCACCAUCUCUCCUUAGCUUGGUGGUGAGGAAUUCCAUCUCUCUCCUCUCAGAGGAACAGGAAGAGCUCAUGAUCUCCUCAGGGGCUGUAAACAUGCAGUGAGCUGGUUCCCACUGUUAACAGGCAUACAGUCUGGACAGCAUAUAACUAACAGUUUCCUUUCCCAUCUCAUGUUCCGCAAAUCCCAAGUUUCCCUUGUAUGGCCACCAGGGGGCACCAGAGGAUCACCAUCUGGGCAGAGAAGCGGACAGAGUCCCUUCCCUGCCUGAUAGCAUAGGACCACAGGCUUAAGGGUAAAAGGGUGGACAGAAAGGGCAGAGGAGGUAGAGUCUCUAGAGGAGAGGGGCUUGUGUGUGUAGAGAGUGGAGAACAUCUCAAACUGGGGGAGAGGGGGGGCUCCAAAGUGAGGACAGCCAUAGAGGAGACACGGAGAUAGGCUGGGGUGAGGCCAGAGACCACAUGGUUUUGAAUGCCAAGACUUCACGCAGAAGACAGUGGAGGGAUACACUUAGAACAGUGCUGGCUGUUAAUGGAGUGCUGGUGGGCCCGCUGGCUGGUAGAAUCCUGGAGGAUGGGUUCCCUUAAGGAAAGAGCCACAGGAGAUUCAUUCAAUGGCCUUGCAAGUAGAUAUCCAGUUGUGCUCUGAGGGAGACACCAUCUUAGUGUCCCUAGAACCCCGGUGCCCCUACCUCACUCUCACCUCCCCAGGAAGAUGCUGAGGGUACUUUGAGGCUCUCUGAGAUGUACCAUGCCGUUUUUUGACAGGGCUGUUCUAUGACCCACGGACGCCUCAGGCCACCCAGAGGCCAUGACUCAUACCCUAACUCCAGCCCUGACCAGCAGGGUUUGGCUCCAAGCUUCCCUGGCUGCGUUGUUCCUCAGCUCUACAGUGCGUUCUGCUCCAGCCUAUAGCUUGCAGUCAUGGCAUCCAGAAAUGAGCUUCCUGGGCACUGGCUCUGAGUUCACUCUCCUAGUGAGCUCGGCCCCCUGUCCCUCCUCUGUGGUCCCUGAUGUGAGGCUCAGGGAAUGAGACCUCAUGGCGAUCUUGGUGCUAGAGCUGUGGGGACUCAGAUAAUACUGAGGUGAUGUUGGGGGCAGGAGCAGAGCUGGUAUAGCCUCUGAACACAGAUAACCAUGAACAACCUUACUGCCAAGCCUUCAGAUGGUGCCGUCAGACCUGUGUCCAGAGGACAUUGCCGCACGGGCUGGCUCCACACAAGUAUAGCUGGAAUUGAGUGGUGGUGACACACACUUUUAAUCCCAGUACUCAGAAGGCAGAGGCAGGCAGAACUCUGUGGGUUCAAGGCCAGCCUGGUCUACAGAGAGAGCUCCAGGAAAGACAGGGCUACACAGAGAAACCCUGUCUUUUUAAAAAAAUGGAAGGAAGGGAAGAAAGAGGAGGAGGAAGAAAAAAGAAGAAGGAUGAAGAAGAAGAGGAGGAGGAGAAGAAG